ensembl:lncRNA
CCAGUCAAGUCUCAUGUCCCUGAUGUCCAAGUCCCAGUCAAGUCUCAAGUCCCUAAGAUCCAAGCCAAGCCUCCAGUCAGGAAAGUCCAAGUCCCAGUCAAGUCUCAUGUCCCUGAUGUCCAAGUCCCAGUCAAGUCUGAAGUCCCUAAGGUCCAAGUCAAGUCUCACGUCCCUGAGCGCCAAGUCAAGUCUCACGUCCCUGAGCUCCAGGUCAAGCCUCCAGUCCCUGAGCUCCAGGUCAAGCCUCCAGUCCCUGAGCUCCCGUUCAAGGCUGCUGACACGCCCAGCCAAGCUCUGCUCACGCCACAGGCUGCUGACACGCACAGCCAAGCUCUGCUCACGCCACAGGCUGCUGACACGCACAGCCAAGCUC